rnacentral:rRNA from 1 species
AGAUUGAACUGAAGAGUUUGAUCCUGGCUCAGAUUGAACGCUGGCGGCAUGCUUUACACAUGCAAGUCGAACGGCAGCAUGGGCUUCGGCCUGAUGGCGAGUGGCGAACGGGUGAGUAAUGCAUCGGAACGUACCCAGUCGUGGGGGAUACCGUAGCGAAAGUUACGCUAAUACCGCAUACGACCUGAGGGAGAAAGCGGGGGACCGAAAGGCCUCGCGCGAUUGGAGCGGCCGAUGUCAGAUUAGCUAGUUGGUGGGGUAAAGGCCCACCAAGGCGACGAUCUGUAGCGGGUCUGAGAGGAUGAUCCGCCACACUGGGACUGAGACACGGCCCAGACUCCUACGGGAGGCAGCAGUGGGGAAUUU